AUUGAACGCUGGCGGCAGGCUUAACACAUGCAAGUCGAGCGGGGUGAUGGUGCUUGCACUAUCACUUAGCGGCGGACGGGUGAGUAAUGCUUAGGAAUCUGCCUAUUAGUGGGGGACAACAUUUCGAAAGGAAUGCUAAUACCGCAUACGUCCUACGGGAGAAAGCAGGGGAUCUUCGGACCUUGCGCUAAUAGAUGAGCCUAAGUCGGAUUAGCUAGUUGGUGGGGUAAAGGCCUACCAAGGCGACGAUCUGUAGCGGGUCUGAGAGGAUGAUCCGGCACAGUGAGACUGAGACACGGCCCAGACGCCUACGGAAGGCAGCAGUGGGGAAUAUUGGACAAUGGGCGGAAGCCUGAUCCAGCCAUGCCGCGUGUGUGAAGAAGGCCUUAUGGUUGUAAAGCACUUUAAGCGAGGAGGAGGCUACUUUAGUUAAUACCUAGAGAUAGUGGACGUUACUCGCAGAAUAAGCACCGGCUAACUCUGUGCCAGCCGCCGCAGUAAAAC
rnacentral:rRNA from 1 species